GCCCCAUCUGCUGCUCUGCUUUCUGCUCCUUGCCCUGUGCAUCUUGUCUGGCCUUCAGCUCUGCUUUCUGCUCCCUUUCCCUGUGCACCCUGCCCCAUCUGCUGCUCUGCUUUCUGCUUCCCUAUCCUGUGCAUCCGGUCUGGCCCAUGGCUCUGCUUUCUGCUCCCCACCCAAUCCACUGCUCUGCUUUCUGCUCCAUGCCCAGUCUGCUGCUCUGCUUUCUGCUUCCCUUCCCUGUGUGUCCUGUCUGACCCACUGCUCUGCUCUCUGCUUCCCUACCUCAUGCGUCCUGUCUGACCCACUGCUCUGCUUUCUGCUUCCCUUCCCUGCGCGCCCUGCCCGAUCUGCUGCUCUUAGCGUGGCUGACCGUCCAGGAUUGCCCUGGCGUCUCCAGGAACGAGAGAGAAAUCUCUUGGAGGCUGCUGAGAGUGCAAGUCUCUGAGUCUGCGUAAUUUCUAAAUAAGACAACGUUUGAAGAAGAAUUAAACCACAGCAAAACAAAAGCUGUUUGCACAUUCGAGAAGCAAGGAGUCAGAAAAGCAGCAGAGAAAAACCAAGUGAUACCUUUACAAGUGAUGCUUCUAUUAGGAACCAGGGGCUGAGAACGGAGGACCGUGUCUCAGCCCAGCAGAGGAGCUCACUGGCACCGUGCGGCCCAGCAGAGGAGCUCACUGGCACCGUGCGGCCCAGCAGAGGAGCUCACUGGCACCGUGCGGCCCAGCAGAGGAGCUCACUGGCACCUGCCACAAAGCACAGAUAGGGCCAAGCGAUGCAUGUAUCCUGUGGUUGGGAUGGAGCUCUUCUGAGAGUCUUGAAGUCUAGUGCUUCCUUGAAGAACAGCUGUUCAGAUGGUGUCCUGUACUGUGGGCCAGGGAGGACCACAUCAAGACUAUUACAAGUGAAAGUGAAGUCAGACUCUCAGCUGAGGUAAAGUGAACUCUGUGGAGCUACACUGAUAAGCAACAGCUGAGGAUCUGCGUCAACUUUUUAAACUGUCACCCCUGCAAACUGCGCCUUACCCAGCACAUGCAGCACCAAGCCAUAGCUGCUGCUCGAGCCUUGUAGAAAUGCACUAAAAGCAGCAGGUGAUGCUGCAUCCAUUACAUCUCUGGGCAAUCUGUUCCAGAGGCUUGUUGCCCUCAAUGCAAAAAAUACUGCACCUCAUUUCUAGUCCAAAUGUUCUAGCUACAGCUUCCAGCUAUUGGUCUCACUAGGUGUGUCUAUAUGGUGCAAGACAGUGUUAGGCCAGAACUAGAUCUACAUAUGCUAGCUUUGCAAAUAGAAGGCAUACAGAUGCAUCAGUAUAGUACUGCAUCCAGGGUAUUAGGUGACUACUUAGAUUAGGGACAGCACCUUGCUGAUAUGUCUAUACUGCUUCCAGUUCUGAAGCUAACGCAUGCUGGCAUGGCUUAGGUAUUUCUGCAUGGCACUGUCUUGCACUGUGUGGAUUGUAUACCAGCUAGAUGGUUUAAAGUGAACCUGGGGUAUCUGCACAGCACUGCAUUUUGCCCUGAAGUCAUACCCAUUACCUCUUUUUUCUAGAUUGAGGAGCUGCCUAUAGAGAUCUCUUUCCCAAGAUGAUAUUUAUAGACCCUAAUCAAAUCACCUCUUCUUUUGGACAAGAUAAAUCAGUUGAGCUUCAUAAAUCUCUGCCCUGUCUCUCUCAAACAGCCAAGUUGUACAAGGAAAGGGGGAGAGAAGCAGAUAUGUUUAGUUUGGAGAGAGGGGACAGUAACAGCAGCUUUUUAGGCUGCCAUGAAGAAGAGGGAGAACAGCUAACCGUUUUCCCUUGCUACAGAGGGCAAGACACGAGGCAAUGGGUUUAAACUGCAGCAAAGCAGAUUUGGAUAAAAUCUCAGGGAAAACAUCCUUACUGUAAGAUUAGUAGGACAGUGGAAUAAGCUGUCCAGGUAAACCAUGGAAUCUGCUUCCUUAGAGGUUUUCAAGAGGCUGGAUAAGCAUCUGGAAUGCAGGCAACCUGCCCUGGGAGUGAGCGUCAGGAGCUGAGGUCAGGAACUAGUUAGGAGUCAAAUUAAGGUGAGGAAAUGGAAAAAUGGGCUGAAGAGUUAUGGGUCAGCGACAGGGCCAGGAAUCCCAAGUCUAGGUCAGGACUGGGGAGGGGGCAAGGUAAAUGCAGAGACCACGGCAGAAGCUGAGGGCUGGGAGCACAGGAAUUAGGACUGGAGCUGGGAGGUAAGGGAAUGCAGGAAACAGGGCAGGAGCAGGAGGCAAAUUCACAACUGCAGUGAGCAGGGCAGAGCUGCCAGCUCUGCUGGCACUGAGUAGCUGAGGUCCUCCGGGAGGAUGGCCCUUAUACCCUGAGGUCUGGCUUCCUGGAGCCAAUCAGGUGUUCAGGCACAACUGGACCCAAACAGGUGGCUUGUGGCAGGCCUUGGGCUUGGUGUAAGCCGUGGGUAGGCAACGUUUUUGGCCGGAGUGCCGAAAAAAUCACAACGUCUACCUUGUAAGGUGCCAGCAUGUGAGGAAAACAAAACCAGGGUGAGGGGUAUAUGGCAGGA